rnacentral:rRNA from 1 species
AGGACGAACGCUGGCGGCGUGCUUAACACAUGCAAGUCGAACGGAAAGGCCCGCUUGCGGGUACUCGAGUGGCGAACGGGUGAGUAACACGUGGGCAACCUGCCCUCAGCUCUGGGAUAACUCCGGGAAACCGGUGCUAAUACUGGAUAUCGACUUCUGCUCGCAUGGGUGGUUGUUGAAAGUUUUUCGGCUGGGGAUGGGCCCGCGGCCUAUCAGCUUGUUGGUGGGGUGAUGGCCUACCAAGGCGACGACGGGUA